AGAGAGAGACAUGCGCGCAUAUCAAUAAGCGGAGGAAAAGAAACUAACUAGGAUUCCCUCAGUAACGGCGAGUGAAGCGGGAAGAGCCUCAAAUUUGAAAUCUUCAAGGUUCUACCUUGACGAAUUGUAGUUUAAAGAAGUGUUUUCUGUUGGAGUUUUGGUAAAAGUUCUUUGGAAUAGGACAUCAUAGAGGGUGAGAAUCCCGUAUUUGACCAUUAUUUCCAGCUUUGUGAUACACUUUCAAAGAGUCGGAUUGUUUGGGAAUGCAGUCCAAAAUGGGUGGUAAAUUUCAUCUAAAGCUAAAUACUGGCGAGAGACCGAUAGCGAACAAGUACCGAUGAGGGAAAGAUGAAAAGAACUUUGAAAAGAGAGUUAAACAGUACGUGAAAUUGUCAAAAGGGAAGCGUUUGACACCAGUGUUGUUUUCUCGAAAAUCAAUUAAAAAAGGCAGGAUUUUGUGUUGUAUUGACUUUAUCAGCUUUCUGCACUCUUUUCUUGUCUUUCUUAAUGCACUUUUCGUUUAACAAGUCAACAUCAAUUUCUUUUGUUGUAAAAGGGUCAUUGGAAGGUGGCUUUCUUUUCGGAGAAAGUGUUUAUAGCCUUUGGCCUCUGCAAUCGGAGAGAUUGAGGUCUGCAGCGUAGAUCCUUCGGGGUUAGAUACAUUUGUGCUAAGUUAUAGCCUUUCAUAGACAACUUGUUGACUAUGAUCAGUCAUGUAGCUUACUCGCUUAUGCUAUUUUACCUACGCUUAGGAUGUUGAUGUGAUACUGCGAGC
rnacentral:rRNA from 1 species